CUUAUUAAGUUCUCUCUCCUUCUCCUCCUCCACCAUCCACCUCUCCAAUGGCUUCCAUCUCCAGCUCUGUUUCUUCUCUUUGAGAACAAAAAGAGUGAAUCUUUGCGAGUUUUAGUGGGUGGUUUGGUGUCUGUGCUAAAGACUACUGAGAAUGAUGGAGGUAGAGAUUUUCAUGGUUCAUGGAGGAAUGAGGGGUUUCUCCAACGGAGAUGAACAUGAGCAUAAGUAAGGGCAUGAGAGGCUGCGAAGGAGGAUAAAAAGAAAAAGAGUGAAAAAAACCCAUUUUGAUUCUAUUUUCCCCUAAAUUUUAUCCAAUUUCUUCAUUUCUUUGCUUAAAAUCCUGGAUUUUUUUAUCCAUCUGUUCAUCUACUUCAUUUGAAAGAAAGAUUUGAGGGUUUGGAGAUAGAGAAGGAGAUGAAGAGUGCCAAAGACCGCCUUGAAUGGAGCCAGAGCCGGAGUUGCCCUUGCAAUGAGGAAGUCGAAAGCAGCUCCGAUGUGUGAGAGUGCAAGAUGAGACCAUUCUGGAUAGAUUCGUUGAUCGCAUCCUUGAAAAGGAUCUCCCAUCGUUCAUAUAAGGCCAAGCA